CUCCUUGCUAAUGAAAACAUUAAAGUUAUCGACUGCAAAAUAAAAAUGCUUUUCUGGAUAGGAAAACUCGGUUGGCGCAGGCUGAAAUACUGGAUAGUAAUGCUUUUCCUGCUGUAUAGAAACUGCAAAAUUGGAAGUCCCGGUAGUGUCAUGAGUUUCAAAUAAACUAUUAGAAAGGUGAAAAGCAGUAGAUGAUGACACCUUGGUCCAAUCAGAAUUUUCACAAUUGAAUAACUCUGACUGGCAUCCGAUUUUUUUUACAAAUAUCAAUACAGAUGA